UACGUAGGGGGCAAGCGUUGUCCGGAAUCAUUGGGCGUAAAGCGCGUGUAGGCGGCCAGAAAAGUCCGCUGUGAAAACUCGAGGCUCAACUUCGAGCUGUCGGUGGAAACUUUCUGGCUAGAGUCCGGAAGAGGAGAAUGGAAUUCCUGGUGUAGCGGUGAAAUGCGCAGAUAUCAGGAAGAACACCCCGUGGCGAAGGCGGUUCUCUGGGACGGUACUGACGCUGGAGACGCGAAAAGCGUGGGGGAGCGAACAGG
rnacentral:rRNA from 1 species